rnacentral:rRNA from 1 species
GGCGCACAGCUGAGUAACACCUAUCCUACCUGCCGGCAACUCCUGUACAGCCUUCAGAAAAGAACAUUAUUACAAUAUGGCUUCAUGAGUCCGCAUGUUCACAUGAUUAAACGUAUUCCAGAAGACCACGGGGAUGCUUUCCAUUAGAUAGAAGGCGGGGUAACGGCCCACCUAGUCUUCUAUGGAUAGGCGUUCUGAGAGGAAGGUUCCCCACAUUGAAACUGAGACACGGCCCAGACUCCUACGGGAGGCAGCAGUGGGGAAUAUUGGGCAAUGGGGGCAAGCCUGACCCAGCAACGCCGCGUGAAGGAAGAAGGCUUUCGGGUUGUAAACUUCUUUUAUCAGGGACGAUAAUGACGGUACCUAUUGAAUAAGCUCCGGCUAACUACGUGCCAGCAGCCGCGGUAAUACGUAGGGAGCAAGCGUUAUCCGGAUUUACUGGGUGUAAAGGGCGUGUAGGCGGGACUGCAAGUCGGAUGUGAAAACUAUGGGCUCAACUCAUAGCCUGCAUUUGAAACUGUAGUUCUUGAGUGCUGGAGAGGCAAAUGGAACUCCUAGUGUAGCGGUGAAAUGCGUAGAUAUUAGGAAGAACACCAGUGGCGAAGGCGAUUUGCUGGACAGUAACUGACGCUGAGGCGCGAAAGUGUGGGGAGCAAACAGGAUUAGAUACCCUGGUAGUCCACGCUGUAAACGAUGAUUACUAGGUGUGGGGGGUCUGACCCCUUCCGUGCCGGAGUUAACACAAUAAGUAAUCCACCUGGGGAGUACGGCCGCAAGGUUGAAACUCAAAGGAAUUGACGGGGGCCCGCACAAGCAGUGGAGUAUGUGGUUUAGUUCGAAGCAACGCGAAGAACCUUACCAGGUCUUGACAUCCAACUAACGAAGUAGAGAUACAUUAGGUGCCCUUCGGGGAAAGUUGAGACAGGUGGUGCAUGGUUGUCGUCAGCUCGUGUCGUGAGAUGUUGGGUUAAGUCCCGCAACGAGCGCAACCCUUGCUAUUAGUUGCUACGCAAGAGCACUCUAAUAGGACUGCCGUUGACAAAACGGAGGAAGGUGGGGACGACGUCAAAUCAUCAUGCCCCUUAUGACCUGGGCUACACACGUACUACAAUGGAUGUUAACAGAGGGAAGCAAGACAGUGAUGUGGAGCAAACCCCUAAAAACAUUCUCAGUUCAGAUUGCAGGCUGCAACCCGCCUGCAUGAAGAUGGAAUUGCUAGUAAUCGCGGAUCAGCAUGCCGCGGUGAAUACGUUCCCGGGCCUUGCACAAACCGCCCGUCA